rnacentral:lncRNA from 1 species
AUAAUAAAGCUGGUACGGUAAAUAUUUUAGUGUCGUAAUGUUUAGUAUGGAAAUAUUUUAGUGACGUUCGAGUGAGUUUCAAUAGUUGACUAAAGAUGUCAUUGGCUCUUCGACUAUCACAGCAUCUCUAGUCUCUACAGAGCGCGUGAGUAACGCGUUCGUCAUGGGUCCAGCUUCAGUCUUCGGAUAUUAUUUGUUACUAGUUUACUACUAACCAAUAGAAGGUAAUAGUAAUGUUAUGGGAUUUGUUUUUGUUUUUGUAAAAUAGGUCAAUACAGCCAAAUAAAGAAUUUACUAUAUACUUUGAAUUUUCCGAAAACCAGAUGUAAUAAACACUUGCGUUCUCGACGAC